UCGAGAAUUUUUGACAAUGGGGGAAACCCUGAUCGAGCGACGCCGCGUGGAGGAUGAAGGUCUUCGGGUUGUAAACUCCUGUCAUUUGGGAACAAUGGUUACGCGUUAACUGCGCGUGACUUGAUAGUACCAGAAGAGGAAGAGACGGCUAACUCUGUGCCAGCAGCCGCGGUAAUACAGAGGUCUCAAGCGUUGUUCGGAUUCAUUGGGCGUAAAGGGUGCGUAGGUGGCGCCGUAAGUCAGGUGUGAAAUCUCGGAGCUUAACUCCGAAACUGCAUUUGAUACUGCGGUGCUUGAGGACUGGAGAGGAGACUGGAAUUUACGGUGUAGCAGUGAAAUGCGUAGAUAUCGUAAGGAAGACCAGUGGCGAAGGCGGGUCUCUGGACAGUUCCUGACACUGAGGCACGAAGGCCAGGGGAGCAAACGGGAUUAGAUACCCCCGUAGUC
rnacentral:rRNA from 1 species